CACUAAAAGCCUAUUCACAAUUGAGCAUUUUCUGCCGCAUCAGAUGAGGUACAUGUGCUUGAAAGAACUGGGGAAAAUCGCUACAUUUCGCUGUUGCUGUUAGUGUGCUGUACAUGAGGUUUUGGAUAACUGUGAAUGGACCCGCGCAAGUUCCAGCAGUACGUAGUGCACCAAGUAGAAGUUGAAGCUCACAAAUGUCAAAAAAUGCAAUUAAGUAAACUCUGCUGACAUCGCAUCUAAGACUUAAAGUUUUACUUCCAUGCAUAGAUGGUUCGAUGGCCCGGAGUUCCUUCUUCAGGAUCAGUCACUAUGGCCCACCUGUAACGACCUGGGAGUGCCAACCAACAUCGAAGUAAAACAGGUGCUUAUCAUUGCUACUUCGCCACUGGAUCCUAUGGUGAACGCGGAAUACUUUUCCGACUGGCGAAGGAUCUAUCGAGCGAUGGCAACGUUUAUAAUAUACGUUGGAUAACUGAAAGCAACAGCCAGGAAGACGCUCCCGAUCCCGGCUAUUAACGCUGAGAUGAUAAGCCGCGCCCAAACAACACUGAUUCGCCACGCGCAAAUAUCAGAGUUCCGAAAACGACAAUCAGCUGCUACCAUCCGAGGGAAAGCUGAAAAUGUAUGCCCUCAACAGCAAAUAAUACUUCCAUUAAAUAACACGCCUCAUUGUCGACUGGUAUCAUCGUCAGAUGCCGCACACCUUACAUGCGAGGCAUGCGUCAAUAGGAUCCGUGGCAUUUAUUAUGUACCACGCUUACGGGUCUUAUAUAAGUGAGCCCGACGAGCAUACCAACGCUGCAGAAAUGAUAAUUCCUUGGUAGAGAAUGUUGCCGACGAAAGCUGUUAUAUUAUACAGAUCUAGAGAGCCCGCUUUACCUUAGAGGGUUAACGUUAAGAUCAGCAGAUGAAUGGCUGGAAUUGUACCGUUAAUCAUAAGCGUAAAGCACUUAUUGGGCGAGACUUGCAUCGCCCACGCUUAUUCAGUACAGCAUUAGCCACCGUCUGCUACAAUUAUUUUUAAAGCGGUUCCCUUAUUUUCAUAUCUAAAGGCUAUAUGUAGCGCCAUACAGCCAGCAAUAAUGUACGUAGUUAAUUAAUAAAGUUAUAUG